rnacentral:lncRNA from 1 species
AAGGAGGGGAGCCUAGGCCCGGCGUGGGGAGGCCGGCAGGAAGGGCCUCGAGCCCAGUGCGGACCUUUCUUCAGCCUCUGUGCGACCGAGCCGCGCGCCAGGCUCCUGUGCGAGGAGGACGCGCUGACUCCCUCCGACCUGGGCUCCGAUGGAGCAGAAAUAGCGGGACCUGGACUUGUGGCGCGCCUGGUGCCACAUCUCGGGCUCUGCGAGCGUCCUGGCGCGGGAUCCUGCCUGUUCCCUUCUUUUCGCCAGGUUUGCAUCCAAGAGAGGGGAGGACAGGGGCAAAAGGAUGCAGGGAGGCUGCUGAUUUCCACUGAAGAGCUAAUUUCCUGUGAGACAUUAACAGUGAUUUAAGAAAAAGAUUCCUGUAACUGUAAUGUCUUACAAUAACAGAAUGCAGGAGAGCACAUAUCAAUGAAGAAAAGACAAAAUGUACUUAUCCAUGAAGCUGAGGUUAAGAAACCAGUGUCUUCAAGAGCCAGGGACAGCACUGGGUCUGUGCAGAGUUGAGAGAUGGUGAUGACAUGUGGUUUCCAGCAUUCCUCACCCAGUCCAGGGACACUGUGGGUGUGCCCAGCUUAAGUCCAGUAACUGGAAAUACAAGCCCAAGUUCUGGAGAGUUUGAGCUGCAGAGAUAUAUAUGGGAACACUUUGAAUCUUGACUCAUUGGCCAUAACCAGCAGAGUGGAAAAUACAAGAAGAGA